rnacentral:piRNA from 1 species
UAGAAAGCUAGACAAAUGUGUCAGCGGUC